rnacentral:misc_RNA from 1 species
GGGCUUUUUACCAAAAUUUUUCUAUAUUAAAAGAUUACGCAUAACUAAGUGCAUACAAGAAUUCCUACUCAUAGAGGCUUCAUACAGUUUAUCAUGAAAGGUUAAUUCUGAAGGUAUACAUUGCUCUUUUGACAAUUACUCGAUUCACCACUUGAUAUCAUAUGCAUUAUGCAAUUUUGAUAUCAAAUUUGCUGUAGAAGAACAAUAUCAUCAGAGAUUCAGAAUCAUAACAAAAUAUACUGCCAAGCCCUUUAUUGUUUUUCCCUCUUUCAAAAAGAGCCUAAUCGGAAAUAAUUCUCCUUCAUAAAUUUUGAUUCAAUGAAAAAAGAAAUCACUCACCACAUACACCUGCCGCCGACUC